UACGGAGGGUGCGAGCGUUGCUCGGAAUGAUUGGGCGUAAAGCGCGUGUAGGCGGCCGAUUAUGCCGGUUGUGAAAGCCCGUGGCUCAACUACGGAAGUGCAGUCGGAACUGAUCGGCUAGAGUGCCGAAGAGGGUGGCGGAAUGCCCAGUGUAGAGGUGAAAUUCGUAGAUAUUGGGUAGAACACCGGUGGCGAAGGCGGCCACCUGGGAGGUUACUGACGCUGAGGAGCGAAAGCGUGGGGAGCGAACAGG
rnacentral:rRNA from 1 species